rnacentral:rRNA from 1 species
UACGUAGGGUGCGAGCGUUAAUCGGAAUUACUGGGCGUAAAGCGUGCGCAGGCGGUUCGUUAAGUCUGAUGUGAAAGCCCCGGGCUCAACCUGGGAAUGGCAUUGGAAACUGGCGGGCUCGAGUAUGGCAGAGGGGGGUGGAACUCCACGUGUAGCAGUGAAAUGCGUAGAGAUGUGGAAGAACACCGAUGGCGAAGGCAGCCCCCUGGGUCAAUACUGACGCUCAGGCACGAAAGCGUGGGGAGCAAAC